rnacentral:rRNA from 1 species
CACGGGGGGAGCAAGCGUUGUUCGGAAUCACUGGGCGUAAAGGGCGUGUAGGCGGUUGGGUAAGUGGAAUGUGAAAUGCCCCGGCUCACCCGGGGACCGGCAUUCCAAACUGCUCAGCUCGAGUAUGGGAGAGGAUGAGGGAAUUCCUGGUGUAGCGGUGAAAUGCGUAGAUAUCAGGAGGAACACCGGUGGCGAAAGCGCUCAUCUGGCCCAAUACGUGACGCUGAGGCGCGAAAGCUAGGGAGCAAACGGG